GAAGGCUGAGGCAGAGAGACACAGCCAGCCGCCGCCAUGACCAGCAGCAUGUGAAGACGCCGUUCCCCAAAGACUCAAUGACUGGAGGACAGCAUGUUCUUAUAAGGUAGCCUGCAUGGCACACCAUAUGGGAAAGAGGUGAACUAAAGGUUCUAGUCUAAGAAAUAUGUACCCCAAAAAGCAAAUCCAGAAGGCAGGUAACCUCCAGAACGAUGCCUUGACAGUGAGAAAGCACAGGAGCCAGCAUGACAAGAUGAAGAGCUAAGAAGGUUACAGAUGUGCAGGCUGAUGUGGCACUGCAUGUAUGAACCGGACGUUACACAUAAAGAGAGCCAAGCCAGGCAAAUUUAAGGACUGGAAGGACCUUGUUGAACUGUUUUCACAUUGUCUAACCUGGAACUGUAAACUGAAGACACCGUGAGUAUGCUUGGAUGUUAAGAGAAAGAAUAAAAGGGCACACUCUUUUCUCAUUUGAUGGAUUCUCUCUCAGUCAUCACAGUCUGCAGGAAGCUUCUGUGGUCUCAAUCCUAACUGUCAUCACUGUGCCCAACAUACUCCACACCACCGCUAAGACCGCCGCCUCUACCCACUCAGCGCAUCCCAAACACCAUUACUGUGACCACCACCACCCACAGACACCUACUAGUACCCCAAAAUAAAACGCCUUUCCUGUAGUAAAGGUUCAGCAGAUGCUUGAAGAAUAAAUGAACAAACCUAAAAUUAGAAAUGGCCUCCCAAAAUGUUUGCAAUGUGGGAUUGUCUUCUUUGUAAUAAAUCACUGGUGCUCAGCUUCAUUCUUUCCAGUA